GGGUUGUCCUGGUAGUAGAGACACAUCCCCCUCACGUAGAUGGCGUCCGCGUUGGUGCUGUCGAACUGAAGGAUCUCGCUGUGGAAAGGGAUGGAGUUUGGUUAAGUUCGGUUGGCUGUGGUUGUGUUAGGAGUCGUGUUAGAGGUUUGGGAUUUUUACACAAUCAAGAUAAAGUAUUUAGCUCUUUAUACGUCAAAAAUCACAAUCCUAAACCCACACAAUCGCUCACAAUCCUCAAAACUGUUAACUAAUAUGAGAUUCAACCUCCUUAGAAAUUUACAUAUAUUUUUCUAAUUUUUCAAAGUUUCUAUUAAGGUUAGAGAUUUGAAACUUUUACACAAUCAAGAUAAAGCAUUCAGCUCCUUACACACCAAAAAUCACAAUCCUGGAUCCACACAAUCGCUCACAAUCCUCAAAACUGUUAACGGAUAUGACAUUCAACAUCCCCAGAAAUUUACAUUGGUGCUGUCAAACUGAAGGAAUUAAGUUAAGUUUGGUUGGCUGUGGUUGUGUUAGGAGUCGUGUUAGAGGUAUGGGAUUUUUACACAAUCAAGAUAAAGUAUUUAGCUCUUUAUACGUCAAAAAUCACAAUCCUAAACCCACACAAUCGCUCACAAUCCUCAAAACUGUUAACUAAUAUGAGAUUCAACCUCCUUAGAAAUUUACAUAUAUUUUUCUAAUUUUUCAAAGUUUCUAGUAAGGUUAGAGAUUUGAAACUUUUACACAAUCAAGAUAAAGCAUUCAGCUCCUUACACACCAAAAAUCACCAUCCUGGAUCCACACAAUCGCUCACAAUCCUCAAAACUGUUAACUAAUAUGAGAUUCAACCUCCUUAGAAAUUUACAUAUAUUUUUCUAAUUUUUCAAAGUUUCUAGUAAGGUUAGAGAUUUGAAACUUUUACACAAUCAAGAUAAAGUAUUCAGCUUUUUACACGCCAAAAAUCACAAUCCUAGACCCACACAAUCCCUCACAAUCCUCAAAACUGUUAACGGAUAUGACAUUCAAAAUCCCCUGAAAUUUACAUUGGUGCUGUCAAACUGAAGGAAUUAGGUUAAGUUCGGUUGGGUGUGGUUGUGUUAGGAGUUGUGUUUGAGGUUUGAAAUUUUUACACAAUCAAGAUAAACUAUUCAGCUCUAUACAGGUCAAAAAUCACAAUCCUGGACCCACACAAUCGUUCACAAUCCUCAAAAAUGUUAACCACUGUGAUUUAGCAUUUUGCCGUCACAAUCCCAGAAGUCCAUGUUUGUUCUAAUUUUUCUAACUUUCCAUUCACGCUAGAGGUUCCAAACUUUCACACAAUCAAGACCAACUAUCCAGCUCCUUACACACCAAAAAUCACAAUCCUGAACCCACACAAUCACUCACAAUCCUUGAAAAUGUUAAUUACUGUGUGACUGAAUAUUCUACGGUCACCCCAAAAUUCUACACAAGUUCUCCUAUUUUUUUUACACAUUUCCAUUCAAGCUAGAGGUUCCAAACUUUCACACAAUCAAGACCAACUAUCCAACUCCUUACACACAAAAAAUCACAAUCCUAGACCCACACAAUCACUCAUAAUCCUCAAAAAUGUUAACCACUGUGAUUUAGCAUUUUGCAGUCACAAUCCCAGAAGUCCAUGUUCGUUUUUCUAAUUUUUCAUACUUUUCCAUUCAUGCUAGAGGUUCCAAACUUUCACACAAUCAAGACCAAUUAUCCAACUCCUUACACACCAAAAAUCACAAUCCUGAACCCACACAAUCGCUCACAAUCCUCAAAAAUGUUAACCACUGUGAUUUAGCAUCUUGCAGUCACAAUCCCAGAAAUCAAUGUGCGUUCUUCUAAUUUUUCUAACUUUCCAGUCAUGCUAGAGGUUCCAAACUUUCACACAAUCAAGACCAACUAUCCAACUCCUUACACACCAAAAAUCACAAUCCUGAACCCAAACAAUCACUCACAAUCCUCAAAAAUGUUAACCACUGUGAUUUAGCAUUUUGCAGUCACAAUCCCAAAAAUCCAUGUUCGUUCUUCUAUUUUUUUCUAACUUUCCAUUCAUGCUAGAGGUUCCAAACUUUCACACAAUCAAGACCAACUAUCCAGCUCCUUACACACCAAAAAUCACAAUCCUAGACCCACACAAUCACUCACAAUCC